rnacentral:rRNA from 1 species
CUGACGCCUGCCCGGUGCUGGAAGGUUAAGAGGAGGUGUGCAAGCACCGAAUUGAAGCCCCAGUAAACGGCGGCCGUAACAAUAACGGUCCUAAGGUAGCGAAAUUCCUUGUCGGGUAAGUUCCGACCUGCACGAAUGGCGUAACGACUUCCCCGCUGUCUCCAACAUCGACUCAGCGAAAUUGAAUUGCCUGUCAAGAUGCAGGCUUCCCGCGGUUAGACGGAAAGACCCCGUGCACCUUUACUACAGCUUCACACUGGCAUCAGGCACAACAUGUGCAGGAUAGGUGGUAGACUUUGAAGCAGGAACGCUAGUUCCUGUGGAGUCAUCCUUGAGAUACCACCCUUGUUCUGCUUGAUGUCUAACCGCGGUCCGUUAUCCGGAUCCGGGACCCUGUGUGGCGGGUAGUUUGACUGGGGCGGUCGCCUCCUAAAUCGUAACGGAGGCGCGCGAAGGUUGGCUCAGAGCGGUCGGACAUCGCUCGUUGAGUGCAAUGGCAGAAGCCAGCCUGACUGCAAGACUGACAAGUCGAGCAGAGUCGAAAGACGGCCAUAGUGAUCCGGUGGUCCCAAGUGGGAGGGCCAUCGCUCAACGGAUAAAAGGUACGCCGGGGAUAACAGGCUGAUGGUGCCCAAGAGUCCAUAUCGACGGCACCGUUUGGCACCUCGAUGUCGGCUCAUCUCAUCCUGGGGC